UGAAAAUCGGACUUAGUGAUCCGGUGGUUCUGCGUGGAAGGGCCAUCGCUCAACGGAUAAAAGCUACCCUGGGGAUAACAGGCUUAUCUCCCCCAAGAGUCCACAUCGACGGGGAGGUUUGGCACCUCGAUGUCGGCUCAUCACAUCCUGGGGCGGUAGUAGGUCCCAAGGGUUGGGCUGUUCGCCCAUUAAAGUGGUACGCGAGCUGGGUUCAGAACGUCGUGAGACAGUUCGGUCCCUAUCCGUCGCAGGCGUAGGAAAUUUGAGAAGACCUGUCCUUAGUACGAGAGGGCCGGGAUGGACGUACCUCUGGUGUACCAGUUGUUCUGCCAAGGGCAUGGCUGGGUAGCUAUGUACGGAAUGGAUAAGCGCUGAAAGCAUCUAAGCGCGAAGCCAACUUCAAGAUAAGAUUUCCCACCG
rnacentral:rRNA from 1 species